AACGGGUGAGUAAUGCGUGACCAACCUGCCCCAUGCUCCAGAAUAGCUCUUGGAAACGGGUGGUAAUGCUGGAUGCUCCAACUUGACGCAUGUCUUGUUGGGAAAGUGUUUAGUGGCAUGGGAUGGGGUCGCGUCCUAUCAGCUUGUAGGCGGGGUAAUGGCCCACCUAGGCUUCGACGGGUAGCCGGCCUGAGAGGGCGGACGGCCACAUUGGGACUGAGACACGGCCCAAACUCCUACGGGAGGCAGCAGGC
rnacentral:rRNA from 1 species